AGAGUUUGAUCCUGGCUCAGAAUCAACGCUGGCGGCGUGCCUAACACAUGCAAGUCGAACGCGAAAGGGGCUUCGGCCCUGAGUAGAGUGGCGAACGGGUGAGUAACACGUGGGUGAUCUACCUCUGAGUGGGGGAUAACGUCCCGAAAGGGACGCUAAUACCGCAUGACGUCCUGGGUUUGAGUACCUGGAAACCAAAGUCGGGGACCGCAAGGCCUGACGCUUGGAGAAGAGCCCGCGCCUGAUUAGCUAGUUGGCGGGGUAAUGGCCCACCAAGGCAACGAUCAGUAGCCGGCCUGAGAGGGCGGACGGCCACACUGGGACUGAGACACGGCCCAGACUCCUACGGGAGGCAGCAGUGGGGAAUUGUUCGCAAUGGGCGCAAGCCUGACGACGCAACGCCGCGUGGAGGAUGAAGGUCUUCGGAUUGUAAACUCCUGUUGAUCGGGACGAAUGGGUUCCGGGGGAAUAUCCCGGGGCAGUGACGGUACCGAUUGAGGAAGCCACGGCUAACUCUGUGCCAGCCGCCGCGGUAAUAC
rnacentral:rRNA from 1 species